GCAAAUCCCACGUAUCCUGGGCCCACGCCUAAACAAGGCGGGCAAGUUCCCCUCCCUGCUGACACAUAAUGAAAACAUGGGGGCCAAAGUGGAUGAGGUGAAAUCCACAAUCAAGUUCCAGAUGAAGAAGGUGCUGUGUCUGGCCGUUGCCGUCGGCCACGUGAAGAUGACCGAUGAUGAGCUAGUCUACAACAUCCACCUGGCUGUCAACUUCUUGGUGUCCUUACUCAAGAAAAACUGGCAGAACGUCCGGGCUCUGUACAUCAAGAGCACCAUGGGCAAGCCCCAGCGUCUGUAUUAGGACGCUCCAAUAAACCUCGUUGCUGCCUUC
rnacentral:lncRNA from 1 species